rnacentral:rRNA from 1 species
GUGCCUAAUACAUGCAAGUCGAGCGAACGGACGAGAAGCUUGCUUCUCUGAUGUUAGCGGCGGACGGGUGAGUAACACGUGGAUAACCUACCUAUAAGACUGGGAUAACUUCGGGAAACCGGAGCUAAUACCGGAUAAUAUUUUGAACCGCAUGGUUCAAAAGUAAAAGACGGUCUUGCUGUCACUUAUAGAUGGAUCCGCGCUGCAUUAGCUAGUUGGUAAGGUAACGGCUUACCAAGGCAACGAUGCAUAGCCGACCUGAGAGGGUGAUCGGCCACACUGGAACUGAGACACGGUCCAGACUCCUACGGGAGGCAGCAGUAGGGAAUCUUCCGCAAUGGGCGAAAGCCUGACGGAGCAACGCCGCGUGAGUGAUGAAGGUCUUCGGAUCGUAAAACUCUGUUAUUAGGGAAGAACAUAUGUGUAAGUAACUGUGCACAUCUUGACGGUACCUAAUCAGAAAGCCACGGCUAACUACGUGCCAGCAGCCGCGGUAAUACGUAGGUGGCAAGCGUUAUCCGGAAUUAUUGGGCGUAAAGCGCGCGUAGGCGGUUUUUUAAGUCUGAUGUGAAAGCCCACGGCUCAACCGUGGAGGGUCAUUGGAAACUGGAAAACUUGAGUGCAGAAGAGGAAAGUGGAAUUCCAUGUGUAGCGGUGAAAUGCGCAGAGAUAUGGAGGAACACCAGUGGCGAAGGCGACUUUCUGGUCUGUAACUGACGCUGAUGUGCGAAAGCGUGGGGAUCAAACAGGAUUAG